CCAGCAGCCGCGGUAAUACGUAGGGGGCCAGCGUUGUUCGGAAUUACUGGGUGUAAAGGGUUCGUAGGCGGUGUGGCAAGUCGGGAGUGAAAUCUCCCGGCUUAACUGGGAGGGAGCGCCGAAAACUGCGGGGCUUGAGAGUGGGAGAGGUAAGCGGAAUUCCUGGUGUAGCGGUGAAAUGCGCAGAUAUCAGGAGGAACACCGGUGGCGAAGGCGCCACUCUGGGCCGGAACUGACGCUGAGGAGCGAAAGCGUGGGUAGCAAACAGGAUUAGAUACCCUGGUA
rnacentral:rRNA from 1 species